rnacentral:rRNA from 1 species
GACGAACGCUGGCGGCGUGCUUAACACAUGCAAGUCGAACGGAAAGGCCCUGCUUUUGUGGGGUGCUCGAGUGGCGAACGGGUGAGUAACACGUGAGUAACCUGCCCUUGACUUUGGGAUAACUUCAGGAAACUGGGGCUAAUACCGGAUAGGAGCUCCUGCUGCAUGGUGGGGGUUGGAAAGUUUCGGCGGUUGGGGAUGGACUCGCGGCUUAUCAGCUUGUUGGUGGGGUAGUGGCUUACCAAGGCUUUGACGGAUAGCCGGCCUGAGAGGGUGACCGGCCACAUUGGGACUGAGAUAGGGACCAGACGGCUACGGGAGGCAACAGUGGGGAAUAUUGCGCAACGGGCGGAAGCCUGAGACAGCGACGCCGCGUGCGGGAUGACGGCCUUCGGGUUGUAAACCGCUUUCGCCUGAGACGAAGCGUGAGUGACGGUAAUGGGUAAAGAAGCACCGGCUAACUACGUG